CCUCGGAUCAGGUAGGAAUACCCGCUGAACUUAAGCAUAUCAAUAAGCGGAGGAAAAGAAACCAACAGGGAUUGCCCUAGUAACGGCGAGUGAAGCGGCAACAGCUCAAAUUUGAAAUCUGGCCUUCUGGUCCGAGUUGUAAUUUGUAGAGGAUGCUUUUGGUGCGGUGCCUUCCGAGUUCCCUGGAACGGGACGCCUUAGAGGGUGAGAGCCCCGUACGGUUGGACGCCUAGCCUCUGUAAAGCUCCUUCGACGAGUCGAGUAGUUUGGGAAUGCUGCUCAAAAUGGGAGGUAAAUUUCUUCUAAAGCUAAAUACCGGCCAGAGACCGAUAGCGCACAAGUAGAGUGAUCGAAAGAUGAAAAGCACUUUGAAAAGAGGGUUAAAUAGCACGUGAAAUUGUUGAAAGGGAAGGGUUUAUGACCAGACUUUUUCCAGGCGGAUCAUCCGGUGUUCUCACCGGUGCACUUCGCCUGGUUUAGGCCAGCAUCGGUUUUGGCAGGGGGAUAAAAGCCUCAGGAAUGUGACUCCCUCGGGAGUGUUAUAGCCUGUUGCAUAAUACCCUUGCCGGGACCGAGGUACGCGCUUCUGCAAGGAUGCUGGCAUAAUGGUUAUUAGCCACCCGUCUUGAAACACGGACCAAGGAGUCGAACAUUUGUGCGAGUGUUUGGGUGUUAAACCCUCACGCGUAAUGAAAGUGAACGGAGGUGAGAGCCCGUACGGGUGCAUCAUCGACCGAUCCUGAAGUCUUCGGAUGGAUUUGAGUAAGAGCAUAACUGUUCGGACCCGAAAGAUGGUGAACUAUGCGUGGAUAGGGUGAAGCCAGAGGAAACUCUGGUGGAGGCUCGCAGCGGUUCUGACGUGCAAAUCGAUCGUCAAAUCUGCGCAUGGGGGCGAAAGACUAAUCGAACCAUUAAACCAGCGGUAAAUUUUGAUUUACUAGGUGGUUAAGAGGUGGCCCGAGAGGGCUGACAUCAACCUAGGCCCGGGCCGAACUACCCUGUAGCUACCCUGUACCUGCCCUACACCUACCCUGUAGCGUGAGGCGGGUUACCCUGUAGCUACCCUGUAGCGAGGCGCUGGGCCGACACCGCUAAAUUGCGGGGACAUCCUCAGUGGGCCACGGGCUACCGCGGGGCGCCGAAAGGCGUUGCCGCACCGAGAAUAGCGCUCUCGGGUAUGGUAACAACGCCUGUGGCCGGGACGACCUGCAGCCAACCCCGCCCCAGGGGAGAGUUCACAGACUAGACAGCGGUGGGUCCCCUCGCGAGACGAGAGGGCCUAAGACAUAGUCGAUCCGGGCCCUGAAAGGGUGCUGAAAAAAUAGAAAUUAG
rnacentral:rRNA from 1 species